UACGAAGGGGGCUAGCGUUGCUCGGAAUCACUGGGCGUAAAGGGUGCGUAGGCGGGUCUUUAAGUCAGGGGUGAAAUCCUGGAGCUCAACUCCAGAACUGCCUUUGGUACUGAGGAUCUUGAGUUCGGGAGAGGUGAGUGGAACUGCGAGUGUAGAGGUGAAAUUCGUAGAUAUUCGCAAGAACACCAGUGGCGAAGGCGGCUCACUGGCCCGAUACUGACGCUGAGGCACGAAAGCCAGGGGAGCAAACGGG
rnacentral:rRNA from 1 species